rnacentral:rRNA from 1 species
CAGUCGCCGCGGUAAAACGAAGGGGGGUAGCGUUGCUCGGAAUGACUGGGCGUAAAGGGCGCGUAGGCGGAUGGCUUUGUCGGGCGUGAAAUUCCAGGGCUUAACCUUGGGGCUGCGUUCGAGACGGGUUGUCUUGAGUAUGGAAGAGGGUCGUGGAAUUCCCAGUGUAGAGGUGAAAUUCGUAGAUAUUGGGUAGAACACCGGUGGCGAAGGCGGCGACCUGGUCCAUUACUGACGCUGAGGCGCGAAAGCGUGGGGAGCAAACAGGAUUAGAUACCCCCGUAGUCCCUGUCUCUUAUAC